AAAUUAAUAGUUUAAUACAAACUUACAAAAUCCAAAGUUAAUAAACUAUUAGUCUCCAUCACAAAAUUUAAACAUAAUUAAAUUGUUUGGAAACAAAUCACAAAGUUCGAACAUAAAAAUUAAAUAAGCUUCCAUGGUUCCUCCACCGCUCCACACAAGCACUUCGGCAAGUUCUAAAUUCAAAUUCUUGUACUUCAAAAUCAAGCGCCCUAGAGAAGGAUUGAAGAAAUAUAAAAUAAUUAUUUUCUUUAAGUCACGGUGCAAAUGAAUAAACUCAAUUCAUAUAAAAAAUUGAGCAAAUAAACCAGGUUCAUAUUUUUGCACAUCAAACUCAAAGACAAAUAAAUAAAUUCAAUUCAUAUCUUUAAUUAAGCUAAAUGGGUGUUACAAUCUCUGUAAUUUCUAUUAUAUCAUUAUAAAUUUAUAAUUACAAAUAAAUAUAAUAUGUUUAGCAAAUUUUUUGAUACACACACACACUUGAUUAUAUAUAUUAAAAAAAAAUUAAGUCAAUCAUGCUUAUUUUAUGGCAUUCAUCACCAAAUCAAAUUAAUAAUAAUACUAGAUAAUAAUAAUAUUCUAUCAACUUCAACUUAUCUAACUAAAACAAUUAUAAAUUUAUAAAUUUAUAAAUUUAUAAUAUCAAAUUAUGAAUAAUAGUAUAUAUUAAAAGUUACCUUUCAAACAUCCAUAACACCCAUGUCAGCGCUCACUGCUUCCACUGUUGAAGCUUGCGCUCUUAUCAACUCUAUAAAAUCCAAAAAAAAAAAGAAAUUAGUAAGUAACUAAAGUUAAUGACUUCUUAGAGUAAUCCAAAAAAAGAAAUAUAUGACAAAAAAAUUAAAAACAUUAUCUUCUUGUAAUUCCAUAUGAAACAUUUGCUCCUUAAUGUCUUCUUGAAGGUUGUAGACGAGAUUGGCAAAAAGUUUAGAUUGCAGCCAAUUUUCAAUACAUAUCAAUGCCUCAACCAUAGCCGGGGUUAAAGAACUCAUAUACUCAUCAAUAAUACGACACCCGGUGCUAAAGGCAGACUCAGAUGCCACUGUGGAAAUAGGAACAACGAGGACAUCCCUUGCAAUUAUCUCCAGAAUUGGAUACUUCGAUCCAUUGACCUUCCACCAAAGCAAAACAUUAAGUUUAAGAUUGCUUGGAUCUUCAACUGGGUCCUUCAAGUACCUUUCCACCUCAUAUGCUACUCUUUUGCUCUCAUUCUAAACAAAAACUUUCUUAGCAUAUCCAAGGAAAGGACGAGCAACUGAAAAAAUGUCAUCACCUUCACCACCCUCAACAUCAACCAAACUAGCCUCAGUUGUAAAACGUUUAGAAGAACUUAUUGUUAACAUAUAUGUUUCCAUAAUAUUGAUUUUGAUGAUAACAAACAAGAUUAAGAAUGAUAUAUUUUUUAAGCUCAAAUAAUUUUUGUGGAAUCAUUCUUUAAAUACAUGAAAUGUUUGUCAUCAUCAAAAAGGGGGAGAUUGUUAAUAUAUAUGUUUCCAUAAUAUUGAUUUUGAUGAUAACAAACAAGAUUAAGAAUGAUAUAUCUUUUAAGCUUAGAUUGUUUUUAUUCUUUUUAAAUAAAUCAUUAUUUUUACAUUAUAAAGGUUUUAUAUUUAAUGGAAAAAUGAUUUUAUGAAAUUGAUUGUUUUCAUUCUUUUUAAAUGAAUCAUUAUUUUCACAUUAUAAAUGUUUCAUAUUUAAUAGAAAAAUGAUUUUAUGAAAUUGGUUGUUUUUCAAAGUUUAUGGUUUAAUUGAAACAUUUUGAAAACUUUGAAAUAAACAAGUAUUGCUUGAAAUUUUGGUGAAGGACUUAUUUGAAAAGUGUCAUAGCAUUUUGGGCUAUAACAUAAUUUCAGAAAGUUUUGGGAUUAACAAAGCAUUACUUAGAAAUUCUGAAAUUGGACCUAUUUGUAAAGUUUCAUAACGUUUUGGAUUAUAGUACAGUUUUGUAAAGUUUUGGGGUCAAACUGUAAUUUCAAAAAAUAGUGCACUGUGCAGGUUACUGUAGCAAUCACUGUAGCAAACGGCUAACCGUUUAUUUAAAAACGGCUAACCGUUUAUUUAAAAAAGGCUAACCGAUAAUUUCCAGAAAGCAUGUUCUGCAAAGUAUUGUUAAAAUGAUGAUUCUGGAAACUAACGGUGAACCGUUUACUGAAAACGGUUAACCGAUUAUUUCCAGUUUGCUAACCUUGAACCGUUUAGUAGGAACGGUUAAACCAAAUUUGUUUUGCAGGUCUCUGGAAAUUAACGGCGAAAGGGUAAGCCUAAACGGCUAACCGUUUAUUUGAAAAUUGGCCCAACGGUAACUUUGACCAGCGUAAACAGUUAACCGUUAAUGGUUAACGGCGAACCGUUUUCGGGCAGACAGUUUGUAACGGCUAGUUUUUCAGCUCCAACUAUAAAUAAGCUCAAUCCAAUUCAAACAAGAAGAAUUCCAACGAUCAUCAUUGAGCAAAAUAUAGAGAAUACAACUUUCAUUGAGCUUUAAAUCUUUGUAUUCAUCUUAUUCAUUCACACAUUGAGCUUUCACUUGUGAUCAAACAUAUUGUGUGAGAGAGAUUCAUUUGUAAUCUUUUUUGUAAAAUCAAGUUAAAAGAUUGUAAGUGUUGGGAUACACUUGGGUUAAGAGAUUGGGGAUAAUCUCUUGUUGUAAAGGUCCAUUGACACCUUGGAAGUCAAUUGUAAGCGUUUGAAGCCUUGGGAGGCUAGCUUAGUGAAAUCCUCAAGCCCGGUGUGCUUGGAGGCGUGGACGUAGGCGGGGAUUGCCGAACCACGUAAAAAUCCUUGUGUUUGUUUUCUCUUCCCUUACUCUUUUAAUAUUGUUCAUGAUUGAAUUUAUUGUUUUCAAUUUGAUUAAGGCAAUAGAUUAAAUUGUUGUGUGGUUUGCCUAGGAUAAUUUUUAAAAUCCCAAUUCACCCCCCUCUUGGGUUGCCUAGUUAGUAUUUCAUUUGGUAUCAGAGCGAGGUACUCUUGUAUAGACUUAACCGUCUAGAGUUAAAGAUCAAUAGCAACCCAAAUUAGUUCAACUUUCAUGGAAGGCUAAUCCACCACUAGACCUCCAUUCUUUGAUGGUAAUGACUAUCCUUAUUGGAAAACUAGGAUGAGAGUGUUUUUACAAGCCUUAGAUUAUGAAAUUUGGGAAGUUGUUUGUGAUGAUUUACUCAUUCCUAGAAAGAAUGUUUUAAGUGAAUUGGAUAAGAAAAAGAUGUCUUUAAAUUCCAAGGCUAUGAAUGCUUUAUUUUGUGCCUUAGAUAAAAAUGAAUUUCAUAGAGUUUCAAAUUGUUCUAAUGCUUAUGAAAUUUGGAGAAAACUUGAAAUUGUGUAUGAGGAGACUACAAACGAGGAGGAAUUUCAUGAAGUGUCGAAUUUGGCACUUAUGGCAAUUGGAGAUGAAUCGGAUGAUGAACUUGAUGAGGUAAGUGAUCCAACAUAUGAUGAAUUGUAUGAUGCUUUUAAAGAAAUGCAUGAUGAGUUGAUGAAAAUUGGUAAAAAGAAUUCAUGCCUUAAAAGGAAAUUGCUAGAAUCUACAAAUGAAAAGGAUGCCAUGCAAAAAUGCAAUGAGUCAUUGAAUGAGAAGAUUAAAGGAUUAGAAUUAGAGAAUAAAACCUUGCAUAAUAGAGUUGCAUUAUCAAAUGAGAAACUUAGCACUUCACAUGAGCAUCUAGAAUCAUAUGUAGAUGACUUGAAAAAUGAAAAUGAUGCUUUACAAAAAUGCAAUGAUUCAUUAAAUGAAAAGAUUAAACGACUAGAGUUAGAUAAUAAAAUGUUGCAUGAUAGAAUUGCAUCAUUCACAUGUAAACAAAGUACUUUGUAUGAGCAUGAGAAAUCACAUGUUGAUGAAUUAAUAAAUGAAAAUGAAACACUUAAGAAAAGGAGCAAUGAGUUGAAUGAGAUUGUUUUGAAAUUCACAAAUGAGCAAAAGAUGUUGGAUAACAUGCUUAAUUCACAAAAAUGUGUGUUUGAUAAAGGAGGACUUGGGUGUAAGCCUUACUUGAAACAAAAAUAUUAUAAGAAUUAUUUUGUUAAGGCUACCUCCACAAAUGAUCAAAUUGUAUGUCAUUAUUGCAAUCAAAAUGGUCAUAUGAAGAAUAGAUGUCCAAUUAAAAGAAAUGUGUAUUAUGGAGUCAAAUGUAUUUGGGUUCCAAAAGGAACUAAAUCUAACAUUCAAAGACCCAAGAGUAUUUGGGUACCAAAGGGUACAACUUGAAUUUAUUUUUGUAGGUACCAUAAACAAGGAAUGGUGGAGAGUUCCUUGAUGAAGCUUGUGGAGAUAAUCACUUGAUCAUAAUCUAAAGCAAAAAUAAUGAGGCAAGAUGAUUUAAUUGUUUUGGUAAUUAUUAUUGCCUUAUUGAUUAUAAGUGAUGGUAUUUUAAUCUUAGUAAAUAUUUAACACUUCAUUUGAUAUCAUAACAUUAAGUGCAUUAACAUGAUGUGGAUAAGUUUAUCUUGGCUAUUUACUAUAUUGAGUGAAUCAUGAUAAAUGAAUUUGCGAAAGUAUGCUUGUAUGUUUACAUGAUGGAAUUAUCAUUGUGUUUAACAUUGAGUGCUUUAUCAUGAUGCAUGGUUAUAUAUAUAAGAUGAUAGCUUGUCAACUUAUCAUGAUAGAUUUGUUUGAUUUUUAAUGAUUAUGUAAUGCCUAAGCAUGAUAAAUAAGUGAUAUGCUUUAAUUCUAAAUCUUUGAAUAUUUACAUAUUUCAUGAUUGUGUGAUGUAUAUGCAUGAUAGAUGAGUUAUAUGUUAUUUCUUGCAUUAGAAGUGAUCAUGGUGGAUAAUUCGAAAAUCAUGCAUUUGAGAUUUUUUUGUAAUGGUUUUGCCAUUGAAUGUAAAUUUUCAUCACCUAGAACUCCACAACAAAAUGGAGUUGUAGAGAUAAAUGAUAGGUCUAUUAAAAAAAAAAAUGGUUAAAACCACAUUGAUUAGAUAUCAUCUUAAUAAUACUCUCUAUGAGCUUUGGAAAUAUAGAAAACCCAACAUUAAUUAUUGCAAAGUUUUUGGAUGCAAAUGUUAUAUUUUGAACACAAAAGAUAAUCUUGGCAAAUUUGAUCCAAAAUUUGAUGUUGGUAUUUUUCUUGGCUAUUCAAACACAAGCAAAACUUAUUGAGUGUAUAACAAAAGAACUUUGAUUGUGGAAAAAUUUAUACUUGUUAUAUUUGAUGAGUCUAAUUCUUCCUCUAUGGAGAAAGUUGUUUUUGAUGAUAAUGUAGAUGAAGAGCUACAAGAAGAUUAUCAAAUGAUAGCCAAAAGAAUGCACCACUUGAAAAUCAAGAGGAGCAACAUGAAGAAACAAAUGCGAAGUAAAAUGAAGGUACUUCUCAAAUACUCCCCAAGGAGUGGAGGUAUGUUUCUUCUCACCUUAAGAACUUAAUUUUGAGAGAUCCAUCACAAGGUGUAACUACUAUAUCAUCUCUUAAAAAUAUAUAUGAGUAUUUGUAAUAAUGGAUUUGAUCACUUNNNNNNNNNNNNNNNNNNNNNNNNNNNNNNNNNNNNNNNNNNNNNNNNNNNNNNNNNNNNNNNNNNNNNNNNNNNNNNNNNNNNNNNNNNNNNNNNNNNNUUUAACUCAUCAUUAUGGCUUUUCUUAGUAGUCAUGUUGAUUUUGAUGAUCUAUAUAUUGGCAUAUGUUGAUUUUGAUGAUUUAUAUAUUGCCAUUAUGUACUUAUGCUUUGCUUAAGUUUUGAUGAUAAAAUUUGUGCUUUGAUGAUUCCAUUGUAUUUGAUGAAGUUUGAUCUUAUGGAAUCUAUGAUUGGUGAAUGGAUACAUUUUUGUUUGUGCUUUCUUGACGCAUUGUUAAAUAUGCAUAACUUGCUUUAAAUGAUAUCGAAAAAAGGAGAAAUUCAUAUACUUCGAUAUUUUUAAGCAUAUGAGAUUUUUUUUUUAUUAAAAUGUCACAUUAGAUCUUUGAUGUGUUUAGUUGUCUUUAUUUAUAAAAUGUGAUUGAUAAUUAUGGAGCUUGGAUAGUUGAUAAUAUGCAUGCCAAUUUGGUAAACAAAUCAAAACCUCUUUGCGAAGAGUAAUUUUAAAAAAUUCGGCAUAAACUUGGAAUAAUUUGAUUUCUUGAUGAUUUUGAUAAUUGAUAAUUAUAUAUGCUUGAUUUGAAGUCUUGAUAAUUGAUAUUUGAUUAUGAUGAUGAUUUUGAUGAUUUUGAGAUAUGAUGACGAUUUGAUUACAUGGGUGUUUUAUAUGAUAAUUUCAUAUUAUGAGUUGUUGAUUUGGUAAUUAAUGGAAUAAUGGGACAUGAUAUUUUGGUGUGAUUAUUUGUGUAUGGAGUUGGCUUUUAUCAUGAUCUAUAAUAAUUUGGGAGUAAUAUUAUUAAUCUUGUAUUUGAGGUAAUGCUUGUUGUUAGGGGGAGAUUCUUUCAAAAUUUCUACUCAAACAACAUGGGUAACAAAUUUGCUACUUUUAUUCUUUUCCUUUACGUUUUCUUUUUUAUGAUGAAAGGGGAGAAGAAUACAUGUUUUUAAAUUUAUAAAAAAAAAAUUUGCUACUUUUUUUCUUUGCCAAUUAAGUUUUUCUUUUUGAUGAUGAGGGGGAGAAAAAUCCAUGUAUUUAAAUCAUUAACUUCGCUAAUUGGCAAAUUGUAAGAGCAGAUUAUAUUUAGGGGAGUAAUUUGUGGAAUCAUUUUUUAAAUACAUGAAAUGUUUGUCAUCAUCAAAAAGGGGGAGAUUGUUAACAUAUAUGUUUCCAUAAUAUUGAUUUUGAUGAUAACAAACAAGAUUAAGAAUGAUAUAUUUUUUAAGCUCAAAUAAUUUUUGUGGAAUCAUUCUUUAAAUACAUGAAAUGUUUGUCAUCAUCAAAAAGGGGGAGAUUGUUAACAUAUAUGUUUCCAUAAUAUUGAUUUUGAUGAUAACAAACAAGAUUAAGAAUGAUAUAUCUUUUAAGCUUAGAUUGUUUUUAUUCUUUUUAAAUAAAUCAUUAUUUUUACAUUAUAAAGGUUUUAUAUUUAAUGGAAAAAUGAUUUUAUGAAAUUGAUUGUUUUCAUUCUUUUUAAAUGAAUCAUUAUUUUCACAUUAUAAAUGUUUCAUAUUUAAUAGAAAAAUGAUUUUAUGAAAUUGGUUGUUUUUCAAAGUUUAUGGUUUAAUUGAAACAUUUUGAAAACUUUGAAAUAAACAAGUAUUGCUUGAAAUUUUGGUGAAGGACUUAUUUGAAAAGUGUCAUAGCAUUUUGGGCUAUAACAUAAUUUCAGAAAGUUUUGGGAUUAACAAAGCAUUACUUAGAAAUUCUGAAAUUGGACCUAUUUGUAAAGUUUCAUAACGUUUUGGAUUAUAGUACAGUUUUGUAAAGUUUUGGGGUCAAACUGUAAUUUCAAAAAAUAGUGCACUGUGCAGGUUACUGUAGCAAUCACUGUAGCAAACGGCUAACCGUUUAUUUAAAAAAGGCUAACCGAUAAUUUCCAGAAAGCAUGUUCUGCAAAGUAUUGUUAAAAUGAUGAUUCUGGAAACUAACGGUGAACCGUUUACUGAAAACGGUUAACAGAUUAUUUCCAGUUUGCUAACCUUGAACCGUUUAGUAGGAACGGUUAAACCAAAUUUGUUUUGCAGGUCUCUGGAAAUUAACGGUGAAAGGGUAAGCCUAAACGGCUAACCGUUUAUUUGAAAAUUGGCCCAACGGUAACUUUGACCAGCGUAAACAGUUAACCGUUAAUGGUUAACGGCGAACCGUUUUCGGGCAGACAGUUUGUAACGGCUAGUUUUUCAGCUCCAACUAUAAAUAAGCUCAAUCCAAUUCAAACAAGAAGAAUUCCAACGAUCAUCAUUGAGCAAAAUAUAGAGAAUACAACUUUCAUUGAGCUUUAAAUCUUUGUAUUCAUCUUAUUCAUUCACACAUUGAGCUUUCACUUGUGAUCAAACAUAUUGUGUGAGAGAGAUUCAUUUGUAAUCUUUUUUGUAAAAUCAAGUUAAAAGAUUGUAAGUGUUGGGAUACACUUGGGUUAAGAGAUUGGGGAUAAUCUCUUGUUGUAAAGGUCCAUUGACACCUUGGAAGUCAAUUGUAAGCGUUUGAAGCCUUGGGAGGCUAGCUUAGUGAAAUCCUCAAGCCCGGUGUGCUUGGAGGCGUGGACGUAGGCGGGGAUUGCCGAACCACGUAAAAAUCAUUGUGUUUGUUUUCUCUUCCCUUACUCUUUUAAUAUUGUUCAUGAUUGAAUUUAUUGUUUUCAAUUUGAUUAAGGCAAUAGAUUAAAUUGUUGUGUGGUUUGCCUAGGAUAAUUUUUAAAAUCCCAAUUCACCCCCCUCUUGGGUUGCCUAGUUAGUAUUUCACUUAUACCACCAUAACUGCCACUAAGACCACUCUCAUUAUACAUCGAUGGUGUGGAACUAGAGGAGGAUGCACUAUAUGCAUCACAAAGCUCAUUCAACAAGUCAUUUACUACUUUGGUCAUUUGCUCAACCAUCGAACUAUCAUUGUCAAAAAUGAUCUCAAAAAUAUGUUUAACAAAAUCCAAUUUCGCUCAUGGAUCAAGAAUAGAGGCAAUAAUCAACAUUUUGUUUAUCUUUCCUGUAGACUUCCAAUACUUAUCAAAUUUUUCCCUCAUACUAUAAGCCAUAGAGCACACUCAAGGAUCUGCACUUUCUUAUAGUGCAGUUAAUGAACUCUCAAUUAAGCCAAUAGUAUCAAUAUCAUAACAAAGAUUAGAAGUCACAUUUAAAGAGGCAGAAAAUAAUAAUGUGGCAUCAUAAAAUACCUUCAAAAACUUCACAAUUUGCUUAGCACUUUCCCAAUCCUC
rnacentral:lncRNA from 1 species